UACUAUCUAGCUCAGUCGGUAGAGCAUGAGACUCUUAAUCUCAGGGUCGUGGGGUCAUGCCCCAUGUUGGGUG
rnacentral:tRNA from 1 species